AUUGAACGCUGGCGGCAUGGCUAAAGCAUGCAAGUCGAACGAGAACCCUUCGGGGUGAAAGUGGCGAAAGGGCGAGUAAUACGAUCGAACGUACCCCGAGGUGGGGGAUAGCGUCGGGAAACUGGCGGUAAUACCCCAUGUGCUCCACGGAGGAAAGGUUUACCGCCUUGGGAGCGGCGAUCGUCCUAUCAGGUAGUUGGUGAGGUAAUGGCUCACCAAGCCGAAGACGGGUAGCGGGUGUGAGAGCAUGACCCGCCGCAUCGGAACUGAGACACUGUCCGGACUCCUACGGGAGGCUGCAGCGACGAAUCUUCCGCAAUGGGCGCAAGCCUGACGGAGCAAUGCCGCGUGUGGGAUGAAGCGCCUUCGGCGUGUAAACCACUGUCAGGUUCCAGGGAACACUGACCGGAACCAGAGGAA
rnacentral:rRNA from 1 species